UACGUAGGGUGCGAGCGUUAAUCGGAAUUACUGGGCGUAAAGCGCGUGUAGGCGGCCCGGUAAGUCCGCUGUGAAAGUCGGGGGCUCAACCCUCGGAUGCCGGUGGAUACUGUCGGGCUUGAGUACGGAAGAGGCGAGUGGAAUUCCUGGUGUAGCGGUGAAAUGCGCAGAUAUCAGGAAGAACACCGGUGGCGAAGGCGGCGACCUGGUCCGAUACUGACGCUGAGGCGCGAAAGCGUGGGGAGCAAACAGG
rnacentral:rRNA from 1 species